rnacentral:rRNA from 1 species
UGGGGAAUAUUGCACAAUGGGCGCAAGCCUGAUGCAGCCAUGCCGCGUGUAUGAAGAAGGCCUUCGGGUUGUAAAGUACUUUCAGCGGGGAGGAAGGGAGUAAAGUUAAUACCUUUGCUCAUUGACGUUACCCGCAGAAGAAGCACCGGCUAACUCCGUGCCAGCAGCCGCGGUAAUACGGAGGGUGCAAGCGUUAAUCGGAAUUACUGGGCGUAAAGCGCACGCAGGCGGUUGAUUGAGUCAGAUGUGAAAUCCCCGGGCUUAACCCGGGAAAUGCAUCUGAUACUGGUCAGCUAGAGUCUUGUAGAGGGGUGUAGAAUUCCAUGUGUAGCGGUGAAAUGCGUAGAGAUGUGGAGGAAUACCGGUGGCGAAGGCGGCCCCCUGGACAAAGACUGACGCUCAGGUGCGAAAGCGUGGGGAGCAAACAGG